rnacentral:rRNA from 1 species
UACGUAGGUGACAAGCGUUGUCCGGAUUUACUGGGCGUAAAGAGCGCGCAGGCGGUCGUUCAAGUCGAGUGUGAAAGCCCCCGGCUCAACUGGGGAGGGUCAUUCGAUACUGAUCGACUGGAAGGCAGGAGAGGGAAGUGGAAUUCCCGGUGUAGUGGUGAAAUGCGUAGAUAUCGGGAGGAACACCAGUGGCGAAGGCGGCCUACUGGGUCAGUACUGACGCUGAGCCGCGAAAGCCAGGGGAGCGAACGGG